rnacentral:rRNA from 1 species
CCUACGGGUGGCAGCAGUGAGGAAUAUUGGUCAAUGGGCGCGAGCCUGAACCAGCAAAGCAGCGUGAAGGAUGACUGUCCUACGGGUUGUAAACUUCUUUUAUAAAGGAAUAAAGUGAGGAACGUGUGCCUUUAUGUAUGUACUUUAUGAAUACGGAUCGGCUAACUCCGUGCCAGCCGCCGCGGUAAUACGGAGGAUCCGAGCGUUAUCCGGAUUUAUUGGGUUUAAAGGGAGCGUAGAUGGGUUGUUAAGUCAGUUGUGAAAGUUUGCGGCUCAACCGUAAUAUUGCAAUUGAUACUGGCAGCCUUGAGUACAGUUGAGGUAGGCGGAAUUCGUGGUGUAGCGGUGAAAUGCUUAGAUAUCACGAAGAACUCCGAUUGCGAAGGCAGCUUACUAAACUGCCACUGACAUUGAUGCUCGAAAGUGUGGGUAUCAAACAGGAUUAGAUACCCUGGUAGUC